GAUGAAGAACGUAGCGAAAUGCGAUAAGUAGUGUGAAUUGCAGAAUUCAGUGAAUCAUCGCAUCUUUGAACGCACAUUGCGCCUUCUAGUAUUCUGGGAGGCAUGCCUGUUUGAGCGUCAUUAAACCUCUCUCAAGUAUGAUUACUUGGAUGUGAAGGAAGAGUACCUUAAACUUAAGGAGUGUUCUCCUUUGAAAUUGAUUAGCAGAUGGUAAUGUUAUUAAAUCCCUGAUGUUGUAAGAAAUAACAGUGGUUUUGUAGACUAUUAUCUAGCUUUAAAUUAUAAUUUUUAUUAUGGUUGACCUCAAAUCAGGUAAGGAUACCCGCUGAACUUAAGCAUAUCAAUAAGCGGAGGA
rnacentral:misc_RNA from 1 species